rnacentral:rRNA from 1 species
GAGGACAAGCUUCUUUGCGAGUGUUGGCGAGACAUUGGACAAGACCCAAAGACGGGCGCCGAGCAAAAGCAUUCAACCUUUUGGACUCGUGUGCACCGCGAGUUUCAUGAGCGCAAGAAGUUUCCACCUUACCAAUUUGUGAGCACGCGCGGGUGGGUCUCCAUUUCCAAGCGGUGGAGGGUGAUCCAACAAGAGUGCAACAAGUUUUGCGCCACCCUUGAGAGCGUCAAGGCCCGCCCCUUGAGCGGCAUCGGCGUGCAAGACAUGGUAUGA